AUGCUCACUUCAUCAGCACAUAUAGUAAAAUCAGAGCAACACAGAGAUUAGCAUGGCCUCUGCUCAAGCAUGACAUUAAAAAACACCAGGUUCCUAAUCACAUC
ensembl:snRNA U6 U6 spliceosomal RNA